GCUGUUUUUCUGGCAAGGGCUCUCUCUUCAGACUGCUUUUGGGGUAGCAGCAGCUAUGUUGUUGUGUGACUGUACGAUGUUACCAUGGUGGGACCGAAUGCGGUCAUCCCUGAGCAGUUGUGGUGUUGGCUAGUAGUUAGAAGGACAGCAAUGCUCAUAAUUGCUCAGGUGGAACCAGAGUCUUCUAUUGCAGAAGUCUUUUCACUAAAUGUUCCAGUGACACAGGGAGAAAAAUAUGUUGAUGCCUACUUUGACCUUCCUACUUGUUUGGGAAAAAGAGGCACCAUUAACCUUCAUCUUCACCAUAGUUUUCUGCUUUCUAGAUAAUUUACUUUAGCUUCACUAAGGUGUUUCCUUUGCUUUUUCUUCUUCUUACGUUCUUGCCAUCGCCACCCUGGCUCCCAGGAUGCCUCUGUUCUCAAAACGAUUAAACCAACUCUCAGUUAAUUUUGUUAUUCAGGUACUGUCUUUUUCUGCAGAUUCCUCCACAAGACAGAUUUCUUCCUGCAAGUCCUUUCAGAGGCGCUCUACCAGAGAAAUGUCAAUGAUAACAAGUUAAAAAGGAUGAUGAAAUAAAAUGACAAGGAGUAUGUGGAACCAAACAGCAACCGCUGUCUUCCACAGCAAACCCUUGCACUGCCCAAGCAUCCCCACUCUAUUUCUCGCUUUUCCUCAUUUCCCCUAAGGGAAUGUGGCACAGCCCCUGCUUCGGACAGAAAGACAGCCGUCCAAAGGAAAUGAGCAUCAAUUCUCAGAGCUUGGCCACCGUCCGUGCGAUGGAGCAAUGUAGCUAGGGCUGUGGGUUGACUUGCGCUUGCAUCACUGCAACCCCGAACCAGAUUGCAUCUGCAGUCAUCUGACUUCAUGCCCGAACUGAUAAAUGGUGCUGUGGAAGCGUGGAUCUCGAGGGCCUUGGCAAGAUGCUUUUGCAGUAUCCUGUCCCCUCGUUGUGUCAUCCUCUGGAAGACAGGAGAAUGAGAAUCAGCGGCGUGCCAGUAACCUGCAAGCAGUUGGAGAACUCCUGUGUGAAAAAGAGCAACCAUGCAGCGUGAGCGCAGCGAACUCGUGCCUCCCAACAACCUGCAGUUGCGACUGUGUUCCCCCCACGGGAACUGAUGCCAGAUUCUCCCUCUGGUUAUCUGUGUUCUUCUCUCUUACUGUAACAAAUUUGUUGCUCUCCAGCUCCCACAUGUUAACGGAAAAAUGCAGAUAUUCCCCGUGCAGAUUAAGCGAGGUUAACAAAUUGGCACUUGUAAUCGAGUCCUGUCCCUGGCUGCUGCCACAUGGGGCAUGCACUUGGUGAGGCCUCUGGGAAUUUUCCGUGUGUAGGGCGCAGGAUUUCGCCCUGGCAAAGGGCGCUGGCCUAAAAGGGGUAGCAAGAGGUGAGCUUUUUGGGGAAAAAUGUGUAAUUAUUUUGUAUAGGUAUUUUUGGGGUGAAAACCCACCGUGUGCGCAUGUUUAUGUAACAGAUGUAAAAAGCAUUUUUUUUUCAUUAAACCACCAAAAGCGGUAAGCC
rnacentral:lncRNA from 1 species